rnacentral:rRNA from 1 species
AACGAACGCUGGCGGCAGGCUUAACACAUGCAAGUCGAGCGCCCCGCAAGGGGAGCGGCAGACGGGUGAGUAACGCGUGGGAAUCUACCCAUCUCUACGGAAUAACGCAUGGAAACGUGUGCUAAUACCGUAUACGUCCUUCGGGAGAAAGAUUUAUCGGAGAUGGAUGAGCCCGCGUUGGAUUAGCUAGUUGGUGGGGUAAAGGCCUACCAAGGCGACGAUCCAGAGCUGGUCUGAGAGGAUGAUCAGCCACACUGGGACUGAGACACGGCCCAGACUCCUGCGGGAGGCAGCAGUGGGGAAUAUUGGACAAUGGGCGCAAGCCUGAUCCAGCCAUGCCGCGUGAGUGAUGAAGGCCCUAGGGUUGUAAAGCUCUUUCACCGGUGAAGAUAAUGACGGUAACCGGAGAAGAAGCCCCGGCUAACUUCGUGCCAGCCGCCGCAGUAAGAC